GAUGAACGCUGGCGGCGUGCCUAAUACAUGCAAGUCGAGCGAACGGACGAGAAGCUUGCUUCUCUGAUGUUAGCGGCGGACGGGUGAGUAACACGUGGAUAACCUACCUAUAAGACUGGGAUAACUUCGGGAAACCGGAGCUAAUACCGGAUAAUAUUUUGAACCGCGUGGUUCAAAAGUGAAAGACGGUCUUGCUGUCACUUAUAGAUGGAUCCGCGCUGCAUUAGCUAGUUGGUAAGGUAACGGCUUACCAAGGCAAGGAUGCAUAGCCGACCUGAGAGGGUGACCGGCGACAUUGGGAAUGAGAUACGGCCAAGACUGGUACGGGAGGGAGCAGUGGGGAAUAUUGCAAAAUGGGCGGAAGGCUGAUGCAGAAAUGCCGGGUGCGGGAUGACGGCCGUCGGGUUGUAAACCGCUUUCGCCUGUGACGAAGAGUGAGGGACGGUAAUGGGUAAAGAAGCAACGGCGAACUACGUG
rnacentral:rRNA from 1 species